AUCCACCUGAUGAGUCACAAAAUAGGACGAAACAUGUGUCAAACUGGAU
rnacentral:hammerhead_ribozyme from 1 species